GGCAAGGGCGCGUGCAUAGCAUGCGAGUCGCGCGAGAAUUUACUUCGGUAAAGGAAAGCGGCGAAAGGGAGAGGACAACAUGGGAAUCUGCCCGGGGGACGAGGAUAGCGUCGGGAAACUGACGGUAAUACUCGAUAAUGUUUGCGGACCAAAGGUGUGAUUCCGCCCCUGGAUGAGCCCAUGCCCCAUUAGCUAGUUGGUAGUGUAAUGGACUACCAAGGCUGUGAUGGGUAGCUGGUGUGAGAGCACGACCAGCCUCACUGGCACUGAGACACUGGCCAGACACCUACGGGUGGCUGCAGUCGAGAAUCUUCGGCAAUGGACGAAAGUCUGACCGAGCGACGCCGCGUGCGGGAUUGAAGGCCUUCGGGUUGUAAACCGCUGUCGUAGAGGAUCAAAGGCAUUAGGGUUCUCCCUUUUGUUUGAGUGAUUCUAGGAGGAAGGAGAGGCUAAGCUCGUGCCAGCAGCCGCGGUAA
rnacentral:rRNA from 1 species